AUGCAGAGAGUUUAUCAGAUGCAUCAGUCAGAUAUUUCAGUUCAGCAUCGUCUUCUCAGACUAACUCAACUGACGAAAAUGGGUUUUCAUUCGAUAUAUUUAGAAGCCACAACUGACUUUGAAAGCAUGGCCUUUCCAGGUUUAAGGGGCAUGGCAUGUUGGCACCAUUCACAGCUGGAUGUCAGAGCAAUGAUGUGCAUCUGCUGGUUAUUGGGAGAUCUGAGGUUGCGGCUCUCCAGUUAUAGCAUUAUAUAUGUUUACUUCUCUUGCAAUGUAGCAUUCCAUUUUGGAAUGGAAGCUAAUUUAUUUAUGAUAUGCUUGUGA
rnacentral:rRNA from 1 species